AUUGUGUGGAUGGUGUUCAGCACCAGGGACAGAUAUGUGUGACUAUGUGUGGAUUGUGUUCGGCACCAGGGACAGAUAUGUGUGUCU
rnacentral:pre_miRNA from 1 species